GUUGAGGCAUAGAUUUCGCAGGAUUAUGAGACUACUAGCAGUUCUUACAAUGUCUACACCUAAAACCCAAGUUAAAAAAUUGUAUACAUGCACCACACAACCAUAAUAUUGCCAUCAAGGAUUUGUUCUUUUAUUGGACUCAUGUCAGCGUGUUUUUUAUUUCUAACCCAGGCAAGAAUAAAGGGAGAGGGAUGCCUUGUGAGACAUGGAGGAGGGAAAAGAGCUGUAAGCAGCAGGACCAGUACCUGCAGCUCCUCCAGCAAAAGACAUGGAUCUGAGGAGGCAGGAGCAUGCAUUUCUGCCGUCUGAGGUAGUGGAGACCAGGUGUCUCCUAAAGGACAGUCAUACAGUAUUUCUGGCUGUCCUUGGCCAGCUUGCUUGGUUGCUGAGCAACAAGAAUCCCACCGCCCCACCUCUGGACAGAAAAUGAUUCAGCAAGACCAACACAUCUUUGCACAUCCUCAUACUUGCACAGGAACUUUUUUUGUUGUUCAUUUUUCUCAUCAUACAUGUAUUUAUUUCUUUUAGUAAUAUAUUCAUUGUGAUUUUUUUUAUCAGUCAUACUAAGUGGCUUUGAAUCCCCCUGGGUAACAGAAUAAAGUUUUGUUUUCCUGCUGACAAAAUAGAUGGAGGGAAAUCUGAUUAGCUACAACAAAUUAAGUAAGGCCAAGUUUUCAUUGUAUCAACAAGCACUUUGUUCAUUGUAGUAAACAAAUUAAGAAACAAUGUGGGCAUCAGGUUAUUAAAUAAUGUAUGAUUCAUCUUUGCCCUUGCCCAAUCUUGUUACCAAUUACGAGAAUCACAGAGCUUAAAUCCUUGUAAGUAAAUGAAGAGCAGAGAAGUUAUCGAAAGUCAUUAGAGUCACUCUGUUUUCCCCAGAGUACGCGCUUAAGAGGUGUAACAGUAUCAAACACACUCGUUCCACCACUCACGCCAUCCUGAAUAAACUCAAGAGAUACUUAACGAGUGUUCAGCUAAAUGAACGAUGUUUUAACCUUGACUUUGGCGCACAGGAUCUUCCUUAAUUGCGAUAUCAUUUUUAGUAAUUAAUUGUAGAGAGUUAAAGUUAGUUGAAGUAUAUCAUACAGACUGUAGAGUAAGGCCAAAAGCCCUCAUUUACUGACAGCUUCCCAAGUUGUUUCAGAAAUUCAGUCUUUAGAGAGUUCCUGAGAAAAGCCUAGGGCAUCAAACAGGAGGGAAAGUGUGAUUAGAAAGAAGUCAGGGAAAUAAAAUCUAGAAACAAUCACGCACAAGACUCCAGAGAGGGAGUGCUGCAGGAGGUGUACGAUAAACAAGCUGAUUUAGUAUAGUAUACCCACUAUCAUUGGCAGUAGAUACAUAAAAUAAAGCCUAAAGAAAUGCAGCAAUUACUGUGAUCAGGCCCAGUAAAUUUAAGAGUUGGGGUUUAGGAUUGGAGAGGAAAAACGGACAGAAACAAAAGAGAGAUGUUGAUCAUGUUUGAAAUGUUGAUAUUGCUUUUAUUCUUAAAGCUGCAGCAGGAAAACAGAGGAGCCGGCGAUAUAUUUGGCAUUUAGAUAAUGUCAGUGAAAUCACUUUGAUUUGGUCUAAACUUUACUGCAGCAAUAGAGGCUCUGAAUCUCAUCACUCCUCACAGAUUAAAUAUGCAUGAAGAAAUUUAAGAGUGAUUGGUUAACAUUUUAAAAGCCACUGGAGUUGGAGAGUGCAGGUAGGUGCUAGGGAGGUAGUGGAACUGCAAGUUUAAGCACAGUACUAGAGUAAAGGCUAAAACAUACAGGAUCCGUAUUUAGCAUGUACCGUAAGCGUUGCACAUUACGCAGCAAAUAGGUUGCCAUUCUAAUCAGUGCAGCAUCGCAUACAGGACACGUAUCAGCUUCUUCGCAGCUUCAUAGCAGAAGCGCAUUGAGCGCUACUCUGCGAAAGAUAUGCGACUAGUUUAUUUUUGCUGUUGAAAAACCAGACAUGUCAUCCAGUAUUUCAAAAUAGAACAACAUAUGCGGACUCCUGACUGUGUAUCAGUUUGUGUAGAUGAGAAAUACUUCCGCGUAUAGAUUUAUCAGUAACACAGAACAAUCUGGUGGUUAAUCCCUGAUCUAUGUGGACCCCAACAGGACUUUUAACUGCUAACUCUGUCUGAAGGAAACAGCACAGCAUAAAGGAACAUAGUUUACUUUAUUAAACACGAGUAAACCAGCAAAAUCCGAAACUGUGAAAUCACGUUGCUUUUUCAUAUACAGUAGAGGCUCAACAGUCACUGAAUAAAAUCCAAAUUAGCAGGAAAUAGACCGCAGAGAGGAAAAACAACCUGUUGUGAGCAUGUCGUUUCCUCUAUACUAACUCAAUAGAAUGUGUAUUUUCCAAACACACAUCCUGUCCAGGAUAGACAGGACUGCUUGACGGUUCAACACAGAUCCUGUACGUUUUCAGCUUAAGGCAAAGGUGGUAUUUGCAGAAAAGACGCAGAAAAUGGAAAUCCUGCUGCGUAAAAAGUCUGUAAUAUUGAAAGGGUCUUUGUCCGGUGAGAAUGAUGCUUGGUUUGGAUGCGCGAUAUUCAAUAGGCUUAUGUUUUUAGACACCAACAAAUGCACACAGGUCAAUCUUGUGCCUCUCCUAUGUGUUUGCUAAUGUUUCAGAAAAGAAGUGAAUGUCACGUUUGUUUUGAAAACUGCUUAGGUUGGUUUUGAUGAGAGAUACUGUAUAUUCUAAAACACAGUUGGUAAACAUGACCCAAAGAUAACAGUAUGUGAUGGUCUUGUAGGUUAUGGUGAACAACAGGAGUUAUGUUGAGAUAAAAAUGAAUUGAUUAAAACUUGUCCUCAAAAGAAUUUAAUCUUUUUUCUCUCUCUCUCUCUCUCUCUCUCUCUCUCUUUCUAAAACAAAGUAAAAAGUGAAGUGUAGAUACAUGGCUUGAAUCGAACUCUCAGAAGAAAAAACAGUAAUUCAUAAUCCUUCCCUCCUCCCUGUGAAGUUGGUCGAAGUCUGUACCUUCUUCUACUUUAAAGUGGGCUGACGGAUGGAAACCCGUCCUCGCAAGUUGCCGUUCUGUGACAGAGCUAACUAAGACAAAUCCUUUCCCUUCACGUCUGCGAGCAGGAAGAUGGAUUAGACCCUACAACUCUGACUCGCAGGUAUCCUGAGAGGGAAGGCAGAACCUGCACACAUCGCUCGGGAACUUUGUUGGACUCCUUUAAGUUUGACAUAAUUAAAACCACAUAAAUAACACUUCCCAACAGUUUGCUGUAAUUACUUCAAGUAACCUGGGGAAUGGUAUGUGUGUGGAAUAAUGUUUAAUAUAUAAAAAACUAUUAAACAAAGUUGCAGAUGAAACUUGGUGCUGCAUUUUAACAAGAUGGGCCACAGUCUGCAGCAUGCAUCAAUAAAAACAAAAGGAAAUACCCAACACAGGCCUGGUGAUACACUAGUCGCUCUAAUUAACAGCAGUGAUACUGAGAGCUGGGACUGCGGCCAACAUGACAAGCAGCUAUCGAGCUAAAUCCUUCUUAUUAAUGUCAACUGUGUCCAAAGAGGAAGCAUGGCUAACUAAUUUUCCUUUAAUUCUUUGUUCAGGUCACUAAGGAGCUUUGACACUGACAGCUUGUGUCAUCUCUGUCAGCUCUCUGAAAAGAGGGAUUUCAUUUUUUUGGCUCUCGGCAACAAUCUUUCAAAACAUUUUUUUUUAAGUGUAGGUGGACUGAGGCUCUAAAUAUUGUGUAUGGGAUGCAUUUUCGAUGCCUCCAGUUCGACUGUGUUUUGAAAUUUAACUUAGGAAAGACUCUGAGAAUCAGCCUAGUUCACUCCAAUUUGCAAAUGCAUUUUUAACUCCGGCUCUAGACAGUCAGAUAACAGUGCUGACUGAAGGGAUAUUUUUGCACAAUGUAACCAACUUCCAAGAAAUUUCCUAAAUGCCUUUAAUGUUGGUGCUGCAAAGAUAUUAGGUAAAUGCAUCCUAGAUAAAAGCCUCAGGCGUCUCAGAGAAUAGGACUGAAGUGUGUGCCAGGGAUGAGAAGUCAUUUCUUUCCUCAGAGAUGUGCAAGAAACUCAAUAACUCUGGUAUUAUUCUUUUAGGGUCCCCACCUAUUUUAGAUCUAAUAAAUUUCAUUACACUUUCAUACCUUGGCUGCCAUGAAUACUGGAUUCAGAAUGACUCAGGGGAUGUUGAUUAAUUUCAGAUAGCAGCGUUUGGCUUUGAUGGAGAGGUCUUAUCACUGUUUUAGUGCAGCACUAUGAUGUGUG
rnacentral:lncRNA from 1 species